rnacentral:lncRNA from 1 species
CCCCGAGCGGCCGCUCCCCGCCCGGCACACAGUGCCCCGCAGCCUGCCCCGGCCCCGGCCCGCGGGAGCCGCCACCUCCCGCGCCCCCAGCUGCGGCGGGCUCCGCUCUACGCGACCGAAGACAAAGCGGUGCCGGGGGCCGGGCACGGCCGCAGAUGCUGAGGUGAGCCUGAAUUCCAGUACCUCAAUCUAGGUCAUGAAGCUAUCUUAAGCAUCUCCACCCAACAACAGACCUGCUCUCUGUGAAUCCCUCAGAAGCUUUCCCUUGCUUUGCUGGCCAAAGGUGUCUUUUCCUACGGGGCAUAGGAAACUCACUGUCAGCUGAAUGUUGCUGGUGUACCCCAGACAGUGUGGGACUGUGAUCUGCAGAGAAACAGCAGCUCUGACAAGGCUGCCACAGCUCUUGCCACAUUUGCUGACAUUUUUCUUUAUCCAACACUUCCUCAUCCUUCCUGGAACAUCGGAAUCAUUUUUAUUCCUGCAGAAUGUGCACACCUUGGCCUUGCAUAGACCCACACUGUAAUGCUCACAACAGGGCACUUGCAAGGCAAAUACUUUCAAACACUAUAAAAGCCAGAAGUCCAAACAUUGUGACUCAGAGCUCCAAAAUGUAACCAGACUGGGCUAUGUCAGUGGCUUUAUGGAAUAGUUGCUGGAGAGCUGUUUGCUAUCAUAUCAUUGUAAUAAUGUAGUCAUAUAAUAACAGCAGGUAAUGGAGCAGAAGCACCUGAAGACUGGGAACAUUAUUUUGUCAGACCAGCACAAACUGAGAGUUGUAUCGGCAGGACAUAAAACUGAAUGUGAACAAUUCAAAAGAAAUAAACAUCUCUAGUAAGACUCUCCUGCAGAACAAGCACAACACUCCUUUGAAUUUUAUUUCUUCCCAAUAAUUUUUAAUAGCAGAAGAAGAACUUUUUGCAAUGACACUUUGGGGGUUGUUUUGAAUUUUGUGUGGGAACAAACACAAAAUUCAAAACAACCAAUUCAGUCUAACAAACAGCCUCCUGGACAAAAUCCUUUAAGAUAACCAUAGGUGUAAAUUUUUACUUUAAAGGCAUCCUGAGUCAGUCAGGGAAAAAAUAAAAAUAAAAA